GAUGAACGCUGGCGGCGUGCCUAAUACAUGCAAGUCGAGCGAACGGACGAGAAGCUUGCUUCUCUGAUGUUAGCGGCGGACGGGUGAGUAACACGUGGAUAACCUACCUAUAAGACUGGGAUAACUUCGGGAAACCGGAGCUAAUACCGGAUGAUAUUUUGAACCGCAUGGUUCAAAAGUGAAAGACGGUCUUGCUGUCACUUAUAGAUGGAUCCGCGCUGCAUUAGCUAGUUGGUAAGGUAACGGCUUACCAAGGCAACGAUGCAUAGCCGACCUGAGAGGGUGAUCGGCCACACUGGAACUGAGACACGGUCCAGACUCCUACGGGAGGCAGCAGUAGGGAAUCUUCCGCAAAGGGCGAAAGCCUGACGGAGCAACGGCGCGUGAGUGAUGAAGGUCUUCGGAUCGUAAAACUCUGUUAUUAGGGAAGAACAUAUGUGUAAGUAACUGUGCACAUAUUGACGGUAACUAAUCAGAAAGCCACGGCUAACUACGUG
rnacentral:rRNA from 1 species